CCAGAGGGGCCAGCCGCCAGCCAGCUUCCAAGCUCCACCUCUCCAGCCUGCUCGGAGCUCUCAGAUACCUAGGCGCUUCCAGAGCAGGGGAUCGGGAGAGGCAGGGCGCCCUGUAGCCCUGGUCAUUAGCACCUAUUAAGAUCUCACGGCCAAAGCCAAUUCCUGCCAUAGCCAAACUUCAAACACUUAACGUUCAAACGAACAAAAGCUUUCGGGGCUCAAAAAAAAUAUUUUUCUAAGUAAAAAACAGCACCCGAGCAACACGGCUGGAUCUUGAAUAUACAUGCACUUGUGAAAAAGGCUCACAAUACCUCUCGGCCCCAAAGCUGGGGGUGGGGUGAAUAUUUGGAAAUGAAAACAACCCCAAACACACAUAACUGCAACCUACCUCUCUCCGGAAUCCGUGCCCCUCACCCAACAAAAUUUAGAGAACCAACCACCGGAAAACUACUCCAGAGAAAAACAAACAGAAACUUCCAGUUGGGUUCAUCUGUGUCGCUGGAAGGAUCUGGUUCAUGAACACAGAGGACAGAGUUUCUGCGAUCUGAGAUACUGAGGAGAAUGGAAAAGUCAUCAAGAAAGCAUUGCUUUGGGAGUCAGAAGACCUGCCUCAAAUCAGUUCAACUCUAAAAAUCUUUACACAGCCUAUGGAGAGAAACCUAAGCAAGUCCCUGAAUCCUCCAGGAAAAUGAAAAGAAUUACAAAGGCUAAAGAACUGUUAGAAUCAGUGCAGUCAACAUGUUGACCAAAGCAUUCCUACGUGCCAGGAAAAUGGUGCGUUGGAAUGUUUUUGCUUCUCACGAGAAAGGCAAUUUAAGUCGCAAGGUAAGGGCAACAUUUUGAAGAUGGCCACGUGGACUCUGGAUCCCUCUCUUUUUGUUCAUGAUUUGUUCUCUCUUUAGUGUUUCUGCUUCCGGCCAAGCAUUAGGUACCCUUGGGGUGGCGUGCCACUUUUUCCACUUAGUCUUGGGCAGGUUGCUUCUGUCCUUAGCCAAUAACAUCUACUCAAAGAUGGUUGUAAGGAUAAAAUGAAAGAACCAAUGUGCAGCAUCCAACACAUUGCCACCCUACUCUCCCCUUCCCUUAUAACAGUCUCCACCCAAACUGUUCUGGUUUCAGAUUUGUCCUCUCAAACAAAACCCAAAGGAUUGGCUAGUGGAACUAUGCCAUAACCUGGCUCUAUUGAUGGUAAGAGCCAUCCUUGCCAUCAUGGUAAGAGCCUUCCUUGCCAUCAUGGUAAGAGCCAUUUAUGGUAAGAGCCAUCCUUCUAAGGACCUUUACAUUAGAAGCACCUCCUUGAGCUGAAAGGUUCAAACAAAACCAGAACAACUUCUCAUAAAACUUUGUGUUCAUCUGCUGUUCUGUCAACUUGGAAUGUAGAAUUCUCCUGUGUUGACAUUAGAUACUACAUUGCAAAGUCCUCUACUGUGUGCCUCCCCAGUGGAGUGAAAGCUUGUUGAGAGGAGAACCGAUGACUUACUACUGUACUUCUGGUGCCUGAAACACUACCUUGCUUAAAGGAAGCACUCAAUUCGUAACUGAUGAAUGGCUGAAUGAAAAUGGCUCAGAUGCAUUAGGCAGUUACUAUGGCCGACACAUUGUUCUAAGCACUUUACAUUUAUUAUGCCCACUCAGUUGUUGAAAGAAGCCCCUUACUAUCAUUGGCCCCAUUCUUUAGAUACAUUAGGUAAUUUGCUUAGGUUCUCACUUGUAAGGGGCAGAGCUGGAUCUUGCUAAUACAGUCUGGUUCUAUAUAGCCGAGGCUGGAGCAACAGCAUCAACAGCAGCCCUUGGGAACUUCUUAGAAAUCCUAAUUAUUCUUCCCUCCACCUCAAACCCACGAAAUCUUAAACCUUACAGGUGGGGCCCAGCCAUCUGUGUUGUAACAAGCCCUUGAGGGGAUUCUGAAGCACUGGGGUUGGAGAGCCAUAUCACUAUACUAUCCCGCUUCUCCAUCCUCAAGCAUUCCAGGACUUUGAUUUCCUAUUUACCUAUUUGAGACAGGGGUCUUACUCUGUCAUCCAGGCUCACCCAGGCUGGAGUGCAGUGACACCAUUUCGGCUCACUGCCAGCCUCCACCUCCAGGCUCAAGUGGUCCUCUCACCUCAGCCUCCCUAGUAGCUGGGACUGCAGGCACAUGCCAUGAUGGCUGGCCAGUUUUUGUAUUUUUGUAGAGACAGGGUUUUGCUAUGUUGCCCAGGCUGGUCUUGAACACCUGGGCUCAAGCAAUGCAACCACCUUGACCUCCCAAAGUGGCUCAUGAUGGGAUUACAAACAUGAACCACUGUGCCUGGCCCCAGGACUUCACUUUCUAAGAAAAACAGUGGAUGCUGUCUAAAAACAAAAUUUUAUCAAAUUGAAUUUAAUGAUCUCAUUGUCUUUUAUUUUCAAUUCAUGAACUGGGCAGCAUCCCAUCUGUGAAAUAGAAAAGUCCUCCAGCGAGCUGAGCAGAGGGAUGGGUUUUGUAUGCAGAAGAACUGAAAAGGGCAGAAACACAGACCAAAAAGUGCACUGAUCAUUUCAAAGCUACUUUCCUUAUAAGAUUAAAGUAGAGGAGAUAUUCUUAUUAUGCUUGCUCAGCUUGACUGGGCCCUUUUGAAUUGGUUGCUGUAAACCUUCUGUUUUUUUGAAAAACUGGACUUUUUUUUUUUCUGAGAUGGAGUCUCACUUUGUCAUCCAGGCUGGAGCUCAGUGGUGCAAUCUCAGCUCACUGCAGCCUCCUGGGUUUAAGCGAUUCUCCUGCCUCAGCCUCCCUAGUAGCUGGGAUUACAGGAGACUGCCACCUCACCUGGCUAAUUUUUGUAUUUUUAGUAGAGAUGGUGUUUCACCACAUUGGCCACACUGGUUUCGAACUCCUGACCUCAAGUGGUCCACCUGCUUUGACCUCCCAAAGUGCUGGGAAUAUAGGCAUAAACCACCACGCCUGGUCGAAAACUGGCCCAUUUUGAAGUUCCAUUUGAUUGCAUGACAGUUAGCAUAGGUGUCUCCAUUCUGGUUUGGUCUGGUCUACCAAGGGCUAGUGCAGGAACCUAGUCCAAACAAUGCCUCUCAUAAGUUUUGUUUAAUUUUUAAUGUUUAUUUUCUGAAAACAUGUCAGGUUCAUACCGUAAAUUUUGUUUAACAGUACUCACAUAUAUAUUCUGGAAAAUCAACGUUGUUUUAGUAUUAUUAUGAUUUACAUUUUUUUUCUGUAGAGAUAGCGUCUCACUACAUUGCCAGGGCUGCUCUUGAAUACCAGUCCUGAAAAGAUCCUCCGGCUUUGGCCUCCCAAAACUCUGGGAUUAAAAGCAUGAGCCACAGCACCUAGCCAAAUUUUCCUACCAAAUGUCAUUUCUAUAUGUAGUUUUGCUUAUUUCUGUUUCUGCUAUUAAUUAAAGGUAUAGCCCUUUGGGCAAGUUACUUAACUUUGGACCUCAGUAUUCACAUCUGUGAAAUGGGCAGGGGUGGGAACUUGACUAGAUCAGUUACUUUUAGCCCUGGCUGACACUAAAAGCACCUGGAGAACCUAAAAACCAUUCCGUUAUCAGAAGUCCAGCAAGACUAAUUAAAUCCGGCCUCUAGGAGUGGGACCUUCCAUUGACAUUUUAUUUAUUUAUUUAUUUUAGAGAUGGAGUCUCACUCUGUUGCCCAGGCUGGAGUACAAUGGCAUGAUCUUGGCUCACUGCAACCUCUGCCUCCCAGGUUCAAGCAAUUCCCCUGCCUCAGCCUCCUGAGUAGCUGGGAUUGCAGGUGUUUGUCACCGCGCCUGGCUAAUUUUUUUGUAUUUUUAGUGGAGACGGUGCUUUACUAUGUUGGCCAGGCUGGUCUUGAACUCCUGACUUCUGGUGGUUCGCCCACCUCAGCCUCCCAAAGUGCUGGGACUACAGGUGUGAACCAUCACACCCAGCCUCCAUUGGCAUUUUAAAGAGGCUUCUUAGGUGAUUAUAAUAUUCAGCCAAAGUUGAACUACUGUGCUAAAUAAAGCCAAUCACUGCCAUCCUGGACCUCUUGCUCGUGAUUGGCUUAAGAGAUGUGCAUGGGACCCAGUUCUGCCCAAUUUUGAUAUAAGAGGAAAUGAUGGGAGGGGCUUCUGGGAAGUUUUUCUCAAUACUUUGCUGAUUCUUGCACUAGGUGGCCUUUAUUUUCUCUCUAAGUACCAAGAUGCUUUCACUGUAAAGAGAAAGAGAGAGAAAGACUGGAGUUGCAAACUCACAUGUCUCUAAGUAGCCUGGAAGUUAAUCUAUUAAAGGAAGAGAGUUGGGUGGAAGCUAUGCUCUACCUCAAGGGGGCUGAAGUUUUAGAUAUAAGAUUUAAGCAGAAGGGGAAUGUAAUAAUGAAAUGCCGGAUAAUCACAUAAUCACUGUUUCUUUUUUUGAGAUGGAGUCUUACUCUGUCACCCAGGCUGGAGUACAGUGGCACGAUCUCGGCUCACUGCAACCUCCGCCUCCCAGGUUCAAGCAAUUCUCCUGCCUCAACCUCCUGAGUAGCUGGGAUUACAGACACCUGCCACCAUGCCCAGCCAAUGUUUUUUGUAUUUUUAGUAGAGUCAGGGUUUUGCCACGUUGGCCAUGCUCGUCUUGAACUCCUGACCUCAGAUGAUCCGCCCAGCUCAGCCUCCCAAAGUGCUUGGAAUGACAGGCGUGAGCCACCGCACCCGGCCAUAGAAUCACUAUUAUACGAAGCUGGAGAAUUGAGCUUGGAAAAUGGGGCAGACAGGCUAUGCAACUGAAACCAUGUUCCAAAUUACUCCACCAAAUCAAGCCAGGGAAGAAACUGCUGCUGCUGCCAACCAUGGGCUGCUGCUGCCCCUAAUGCCCUCGCUGUUCCUAGAAACUGGAUUUUGCUUUCACCAUCCAUGGCUAGAAAUAAUUCACCAAUUCUUUCCUGUCCUGGAUUCUUCCUAAAAUCAGCACCCCAUUUAGAAGCCUGGGAGACACGCUUAAUUGGCCAAGCCUGGUGCAUACCGGCUGGAGUGCAAUGGUGCGAUCUUGGCUUACUGCGACCUCCACCUCCUGAGUUCAAGUGAUUCUCCUGCCUCAGCCUCCCCAGUAGCUGGGACUACAGGCGUGCACCAGGCUAUACAGGAAGCAUGGCACCAUCUGCUUCUGGGGAGGCCUCAGGAAGCUUCCAAUCAUCCGGAAGGCGAAGGAGGAGCAGGCACAUCACAGAGAGAAAGCAGGAGUAAAAGAGAGCAACUUGGUUCCAGCCCACUGCAUACUCAAGAUGGCCAAGAAGGAGGACAAAUAUGGGAAGCUGUUUGAAAUAUGUCCAAAUGACAAUAAAGUGACUGUGGAAGCAUUGAAAAUUGUAACCGUGAGUCAUCCAGUAGUUACACUGCAUUUAGGAAGUAGAACAGUGCUUUACAAAGAGUACUAGU